AUGCCUAGGAAUCUGCCUGGUAGUGGGGUUCACGCUCGGAAACGGACGCUAAUACCGCAUACGUCCUACGGGAGAAAGCAGGGGACCUUCGGGCCUUGCGCUAUCAGAUGAGCCUAGGUCGGAUUAGCUAGUUGGUGAGGUAAUGGCUCACCAAGGCGACGAUCCGUAACUGGUCUGAGAGGAUGAUCAGUCACACUGGAACUGAGACACGGUCCAGACUCCUACGGGAGGCAGCAGUGGGGAAUAUUGGACAAUGGGCGAAAGCCUGAUCCAGCCAUGCCGCGUGUGUGAAGAAGGUCUUCGGAUUGUAAAGCACUUUAAGUUGGGAGGAAGGGCAGUAAAUUAAUACUUUGCUGUUUUGACGUUACCGACAGAAUAAGCACCGGCUAACUCUGUGCCAGCAGCCGCGGUAAUACAGAGGGUGCAAGCGUUAAUCGGAAUUACUGGGCGUAAAGCGCGCGUAGGUGGUUCGUUAAGUUGGAUGUGAAAUCCCCGGGCUCAACCUGGGAACUGCAUUCAAAACUGUCGAGCUAGAGUAUGGUAGAGGGUGGUGGAAUUUCCCUGUGUAGCG
rnacentral:rRNA from 1 species